GUUUUAAUAGUUUAAACAAAACACCAGUCUUGUAAAUUGGAAUUGAAGGAUUGACCUUCUUAAAACA
rnacentral:tRNA from 1 species